GGCACAGUGUAAAAGCAGAGUCUCACAUCAAGGAGAGGAGCUCUCCCACAAACAGCUAUAUGUGGGCAGCGCAGACAAGCAGUGGCGUGGAGUUCUGCUCUGGAAUAGCAAUGAAGCACCGUGAAAGUUGAGGAGUUCAUUUCAGGAAGAGCAUGAACAUGCAGGUGCCUGGAAUGUAUGAAGAGUAAACUAGGGGUAUUAACAAACAUGAAAUAAUCAAGACUUGAAGAGGAGUGCUGCUUAAUGAUGCAUUUUAAGGAGAGCCACGCACCCUGUUCCUACACACAGACUGCAGCAAACAUCAGCCCAGCCACCCUUUCAGAUCCACUUCAAGGAAACACAGGCUUACAAACUGCUCCCCAUGGCUUUGUCUGAACAUGAUGCAGCACACACUGGGUCCACUGCUGGAGUCGGGAACCUGGAGAUGUACUGCCGCCUGGACUGGGUCAGACAGCCACAGAAUACCUGCUUCAAACCACCUUUCAUACCAUUCUGGUUGGAAAUAGAACCAUUGGAGGCUCAUCUUGUUAUCUUCCACAAAAGGAGAAACAAACCAAGACUUUGAGAAAGCCAGUGGCCAGCAGUCAGUUAACAAAACGUGUAGAGGAAGCCUCCCAGACAGUGUGCCCUGCUUGCCUGACAUCAACAGCAACUGAACCCAUCCCAGCGUCAGCUGCUCCUUAAUCAAUGCAACCCUCUGAAUUGGCGUGGACCAAGAUGUGCAUUGUCUUUCAAGUUAAUUGAGUGCUUACUAUGUAUGGCUCCCUGCACAAAGAUGGAAGAGAAAAUGGGUAGACAAAUAAGGUGCAGGGCUUGCCUUCAGUGAAGCUACAAUUAGUUUCAGGAUGCAUUAUUUUUUCUUCUGUUCCUAAUUAACAUUUUCUCUAAUUCAAGAAACAAAUGAAUGGAAAAGUAUAUUCUGUAAGUAUUUUAAGCUUCAUUAAUGAGGAACAAAAUAGAACAUAACACAACAGCAAAACAAUCUGGGAAAUUCAUGACAUUUUAAUCCUUUAUUGUUUUAUUAUUUUACAAUGCUGAAGUAAAAUUUAUUUUAUUUAUUCCCUAAAUAGUCAGUAAACUUUAGAGACACAAUGCUUUGAGUUAAUUUAAGUUCAAUUUUACUUUUUCCCGUAGGUGUAGGUUGUCUGCUGGAAGACUCAUAUAAUUACACAUUUCUUGCGAGGUGUCUACAGCCAUCUACAUGCUAUGUACUCAGGACAGCAUUCUGAGUGAGAUACCAGUGAGGAGAAAGGGAGAUCUAGAUAACAUUUGGGGGUUGGGAACUCAUAGAUCUAAGACUAGACAGAAAGCAGCAAAACAUCUAGCAAAGAAUCUUAACAAUCUCGCUGAGCAAUUUUAAAAGUAUUCAUCUGCUGUCUCCAUAGCUUGAAUAACUAUACAGUUUACUAAAAAUUUAUAUUUGUCUUGAGGGUAAGUCAUUGCUUUUCCAAUGCUAAGAUGCUGAUAUGAUUAGAGACACUGGACAUCUUAUGUAGAGUCUGUGACCUAUUCAAUAUGGAUGAGCCAAUAACAGCCAUCUUUGUCUUGAGUAAUAUCAAUGUAAUUGAAAAUGUGCAAAUGCUUUUUAAAACAUCAUCAACAGACUUCUUAAUUAAGCUGCCAAUACAACCUGUCAAUAACACUAUGUGCUGUUUGAGAAAUGAUUAGUGUUGCUUGAUCCUUCUUAAAUAAACAAUGCUGCCCUAUAUGAUGAGUUUC